rnacentral:rRNA from 1 species
GACGAACGCUGGCGGCGUGCUUAACACAUGCAAGUCGAGCGGAAAGGCCACUUCGGUGGUACUCGAGCGGCGAACGGGUGAGUAACACGUGAGUAAUCUGCCCUUGGCUUUGGGAUAGCCACCGGAAACGGUGAUUAAUACCGGAUACCUUCCUGCGGUCGCAUGGCCGCGCGAAGAAAGGGUUACUGGUUCGGGACGGGCUCGCGGCCUAUCAGCUUGUUGGUGGGGUAACGGCCUACCAAGGCUUCGACGGGUAGCUGGUCUGAGAGGAUGAUCAGCCACACUGGGACUGAGACACGGCCCAGACUCCUACGGGAGGCAGCAGUGGGGAAUCUUGCGCAAUGGGCGAAAGCCUGACGCAGCAACGCCGCGUGCGGGAUGACGGCCCUCGGGUUGUAAACCGCUUUCAGCAGGAACGAAUCUGACGGUACCUGCAGAAGAAGGUCCGGCCAACUACGUGCCAGCCGCCGCAGUAAAAC